AUGAACGCUGGCGGCGUGCCUAAUACAUGCAAGUCGAGCGAACAGACGAGGAGCUUGCUCCUCUGACGUUAGCGGCGGACGGGUGAGUAACACGUGGAUAACCUACCUAUAAGACUGGGAUAACUUCGGGAAACCGGAGCUAAUACCGGAUAAUAUAUUGAACCGCAUGGUUCAAUAGUGAAAGGCGGUUUUGCUGUCACUUAUAGAUGGAUCCGCGCCGCAUUAGCUAGUUGGUAAGGUAACGGCUUACCAAGGCAACGAUGCGUAGCCGACCUGGGAGGGUGAUCGGCCACACUGGAACUGAGACACGGUCCAGACUCCUACGGGAGGCAGCAGUAGGGAAUCUUCCGCAAUGGGCGAAAGCCUGACGGAGCAACGCCGCGUGAGUGAUGAAGGUCUUCGGAUCGUAAAACUCUGUUAUUAGGGAAGAACAAAUGUGUAAGUAACUAUGCACGUCUUGACGGUACCUAAUCAGAAAGCCACGGCUAACUACGUG
rnacentral:rRNA from 1 species